GCUGACAUAGCUCAGUUGGCAGAGCGCGUCUUUGGUAAAGACGAGGUCUCCGGUCCGAUCCCGGAUGUCAGCUCAA
rnacentral:tRNA from 1 species